CUUAGGCCUGCCCCGGACCUCGCGAGCUUCUGCUGAAUUGCCAUGGCUGAAAAAGAAAAACAAGUUCCUAAACUGCCUGUAUGGUAACCCCUCAGCACAAUUCCAGGUCUA
rnacentral:lncRNA from 1 species